rnacentral:lncRNA from 1 species
CCGAGUAUCACGAGUCGACUCCAAGCGUAUCAAGUUCACUGGCACGAGCUCGAGUCGACUCCAGAUGAGUACGAGUCGACUCCGACUGAGAACAGACAGAAGAACAGAAAGGAUCAACUCAGAACCUAUCAACGAGUCGACUCCUGAAGUGCGCGAGUCGACUCCAAUGUUCACCAAGUCGACUCCAGGGAAGUAAGAGUCGACUCCAAGCAGUCACAGGCAGAAAAGUCAGAGAGCAGUUUUCGGGUCUGAGAUUCGAGUCGACUCCAGUGGAACGCGAGUCGACUCCAGUGGAACGCGAGUCGACUCCGAUGGUUGACAGGUCGACUCCAAAGAAAGCAAGAGUCGACUCUCAGCGGUACACAAAGAAAGUCAGAGACCAUUUUAUGGACUCUGAGAUUCGAGUCGACUCCCGCAAUACGCGAGUCGACUCCAAGACACCGCGACCCCAAGACAGACAGAAAACCAAGUUACUGCCUCUGAGAUUCGAGUCGACUCCCAGACAGC